GUGACUGUUGCUUUGAACAGGUGGAUUGCCUUUUUCCACUUCACUUAGUUGUUCUUCCAGGUUUUUAUCUUGUUUCUUCAUCUGAAACAUAUUUGCCAUCCCAUUUUGUCUCAAUUUGCAUUUGUAUUAUUAGGUAUGUGUAAGUUUAUGUUUCUUGACCUUUAAGAAGUGGCCCCCUGUGGGGAUGUCCUGUGUUUCUCAGCAGUACACUCCCCUCUCAUCACCCAGGGGCUGGGGGCCAGCUACUCCCAGGAUAGGUUCUGACUUGUGUUUGUAUUUCUGCAGGCUUCUAGAUCAUAGCUUUAUUGCUUCUGACAUCUGCCUCCUGGUGGGUGAGGCUGGUAUAGAGACUUGUGCAGGCUUCCUUGUGGGAGGGCCAGCACCCCCCACGGGUAGGUGCAGCUGGGUCUCCAGCCCUCUGCUGGGCAAGGCCAUGUCUAGAGGUUCCUGUAGGCGCCUGUCUGCAGGUGGCUGCGGUUGUGUUCCUGUCCUGUUGGUUGUUUGGCCUGAGGCGUCCCAUGGAGCCUAUAGGCUGUUGGGUGCAGCCAGGACUUGGUGCUAAUUAUGCCAGUAAGGUGUUUGCCUCCAACAAGAGUUCAAGUAGAUGAACACUCCCACAUGUUUCCACCACCAGCUUUUAUGACCCCAGAGCCACAGCUGCCCUCCUGCCUCCAUAGGAGACCUUCCCAGAUUAGCAGGUAGGUCUGGCCCAGAUUCCUAUGAAAUCACUGCUUUUGCCCUGGGCCCUGGUGUGCAUGAGACCUUGUGUGUGCCCUCCAAGAGGGCAGUCUCUCUUUUCCCUAGUCCUCUGGAGCUUCUGCAGUCAAGCCCCACUGGCCUUCAAAGCUGAAUGCUCUAGGGGCUCCUCCCAAUGCCAGACCCUCAGGCUGGGGAGCCUGACGUGGGGCUCAGAGCUCUUCCUCUUGUGGGAGGACUUCUGUGAUAACAUUAUCCUCCUGUUUGUCGGUCAUCCACCCACAUGGUAUGGGCUUUGAUUAUAUUGCAAGUGAUUAUUUACAUCUCAUUGGGUUUUUUCUUUAUGUUUUUGGGUAUAGAAUAUAUUUUUUGAUGAGUUUCUAGUCUUUUUUUUUUUUUUUUUUUUAAAGGGCCACACCUGCAGCAUAUGGAAGUUCCCAGGCUAGGGGUCUAAUUAGAGCUGUAGCUGCCCGCCUAUGCCACAGCCACAGCAAAUCCAAGCCUCAUCUGUGACCUAAACUGUUGCUCAUGGCAGUGCCAGAUCCUUAACCCACUGAGCGGGACCAGGGAUUGAACCCACAUCCUCAUGGAUACUAGUUGUGUUCGUUACCACUAGGCCACAAGGGAAACUCCCCCCCCCCUUUUUAAUGGCCACAUCCGUGGCAUAUGGAAGCUCCCAGGCCAGGGGUUGAAUCUAAGCUGCAGCUGCAGCAACUCUGGAUCCUUUAACCCACUGCACUGGGCCAGGGAUCAAAACAUGCCUCUGCAGCAACCUGAACUGUUGCAUUCAGAUUCUUAACCCACUGCACCAUGGUGGGAACGCCAAGUCUUUUUUAGCAAUGGUUGAUCUGCAGUUAGUUGUGAUUUUGGUCCAUGUCCAAGCUCCUUCUGGGUCCCCGUUUGUGUUCACCUUCUGGACAGGGUUUGGGCAUUUUUGAAUCAGCAUCCUGAAGAGGUUCUCUAAUUAGACAUGCGAGGGGCUGGAGGGAGGGAUGAGGACGAGAGGACAGGUAAGAGGGAGAUAGAGACGGCACUGAUGCUGAUGGCAUAACUGCUUGGAUCAGUCAGCUUACGUAAUAGUGAAAAUGGCAAUAAUAAUAAUGUUCCAGCGUUGAGCAUUUACUAAGUCUCUGGCUCCAUUCUAGCUACUUUACAUAUGUUAUCUCACUUCGUCCUUUUAGAAACCUUGUGGAUGUUUUUAUUAUUACGCCUACUCAUGGGAAUCAAGACACUGAGUACCUUGCUCAAACAGACCCAAAUUGAGGGCGUAGGAGCAGAAUAUAAAUGUUUAUUACCUCAUUUUUUUUUUUUUUUGGUCUUUUUGGUAUUUCUUGGGCCGCUCCCACGGCAUAUGGAGGUUCCCAGGCUAGGGGUCCAAUCGGAGCUGUAGCCACCAGCCUAUGCCAGAGCCACAGCAACGCAGGAUCUGAGCCGCAUCUGCAACCUACACCACAGCUCACGGCAACGCCGGAUGGUUAACCCACUGAGCAAGGGCAGGGACCGAACCCGAAACCUCAUGGUUCCUAGUCGGAUUCGUUAACCACUGCGCCACGACGGGAACUCCUAUUACCUCAUUUAAUACAGCAGCCCUAUGAUACAGAUUUUUUAUGAUCUCCCUUUUAUAGGUGAGGAAACUAAGGCCCUUAGACUGGCACCAUCAGCAUCAUUCAGGAGCUUGUUAGAAAUGCAAAAUCUUGGGCCCCAUUUCCGACCUACUGGGGCAGAAUCUGUACAGAACCACCAGGCUAGACCAGAGGGCCCUGUGGGUCUUAAACUCAUGUAUGCAUGAGGGUUCGCUAGAAGCUGUGUUAGAACCCACAUCCCUGCGUCCCACCCCUUGUCCCAAAUACAAGUGUCUGGUAUUUAUUUAGCAGCAAUACUUAGGCGCUCUGUGGAGUUGCAUCCCUCAGGUUCUUUUUGGUAUCACAUCAUCUACCAACAUUAGCUGAUAGUGAAAAGCAGCAUUUUGGAAGUUCUCUUACAGUGCAGCGGGUUAAGGAUCCAGCAUUGUAACUGCAGCAGCUUGGUCACCACUGCGGCACAGGUUUGAUCCCUGGCCUGGAACCUCCGUGUGCUAUAGGCGUAGCCAAAAAACCCCAACAUUUUCAAAGAGCAGAAAUCAGAGUUUUAUUUUCAGGGGUUGACACACUUUUUCUGUAAAGGCCCAGCUAGUAAAUAUUUUAGGCUUUGCGAGCCAUUAGGCCUCUGUCAUAUGUCGCAAAAGCAGACAAUAUGUAAAUGAACAAGGGUGUCUGUUUUCCAGUACAACUCAGUCAACUCCUCUCAUUUAACUUAGAAUCAGGGAACCUCCAAUGAUGGCAAUGCUCCCAGUGCAGAGUGUGUCUAAGGAAUGGGGCUCUUGGCGUUCAGCGGAGAGAGGAAGAAAGGACUGUCUGAGUCCAUUGCUCGUACUGUAGGCGAGGAAAAGCAGUUUUCCCUCGACCCUCCUAAGUUUGUGGCUGAGACCCCCUCUGCAACAAAAAACAGAUUAACGAGACAAAAACACACCAUUGUAAUUACUACAUAAGGGGAGCCCGCAAAGAAAGGAGACUCCAAAGGCAGCCAGACACCUGAGGCUCAGGUACCACCCUGAGCUGAGGAAAGGGACUGGGGUCUGGGCCUUCACCGGGCCGAAGGCCUUUCACAGGAAGGUGAGAAGAGCGGGUGUUUGGUGAACAAUGUUUGCCCACCAUGCAAAGGAGCCUCAGAAGAAAAAGUGAUCUCAGCUAAUGGCUCUUCCUGGUACAGGCCUCCUUUCUAAUUUUUUUUUUAGGCAGUAAAGAAGGAGUUAAAAAGCUUUUCAAAGCUGAGUCUGCUGGGUCUUGAUAGCCUUCAGUUCAAAAUAAUAGGUCAAAGUGGCACAUUCGGGAAAAGC
rnacentral:lncRNA from 1 species